UUGGAAACAAAUAUUUGAAAA
rnacentral:piRNA from 1 species